UACGUAGGGUGCGAGCGUUAAUCGGAAUUACUGGGCGUAAAGCGUGCGCAGGCGGUUUUGUAAGCCAGAUGUGAAAUCCCCGGGCUUAACCUGGGAAUGGCAUUUGGGACUGCAAGGCUUGAGUGCGGCAGAGGAGACUGGAAUUCCUGGUGUAGCAGUGAAAUGCGUAGAUAUCAGGAGGAACACCGAUGGCGAAGGCGGCAUUCUGGACCAUAACUGACACUGAGAGACGAAAGCCAGGGGAGCAAAACGGG
rnacentral:rRNA from 1 species